CCUAAGGCAAAUGAAUUCCUUGAAAAUCUCUUGGGAGAAAAAGUGCAUUCAUAAUUUAAAUGACUAUGCUGCUAAUUUAUCUGUUACAAAAGCUCAGAACCUUGUGUCUCUUUUGUCUUUCAAAGUGAUAUACACUGAGGCUCCAAAAUUCUGCUCUAGAAAAAUUAUGGUGGAAAUCUCUUGGGAGCCCUGGGUUUGUGUGCCAAUUUUGUAGCCCUGGGCAAGUCACCUUAUUCCUUCGGGCCUCAGUUUCCCCACAUCUGUAGACCGGGGUGUGGAACGGCACCAAGGUCUUGCCUGGCUUCAACACUCUCCAUCUAGACUUAGGGCUAACGCUCACUGUUGCCUCCUUCCGGAAGGUGAAGAAGAUGCUGCUCCUGACAACACACUGAAUAAAUGAGCUUAUGCUGCUUUAGGUUUUUGCCAGACCAAAUGAAGUCAGUGCCUAAGACAACUUUGGAGUCAGACUUUUCAUGAUUAACCAACUCCGAAGGUAUAACAAUUGGCAUACAUUUAAAACAUCCCUUAAUUCAUAUUAUAAGUGGAUGAAUACUUGGAGUCCAGUUGCAGGUUCACCUACAAUCUAUAACCUUCCAUGUGGCUGGGUUAACCUUCUCCCUCUGUCUGCACCUUUCACUCAUUUAUCCGUAGAAGCAAUUAUCAGGCUGCAGAAAAUAUAAGGCACACAGAGCCUUCGAAAUACAACGUGGUAGGGGGAUUAAUUUGGCAAAUGACUUUUAAAAAGUCUGAUGUUGUAAAACAGUGUGAGGAGGUAAGUAGGCAGAGGAACAAGGGCACUCUCUCGCUUCUGCUCCUAAGCAGAAUUUUAUCCACACCUCUAUGUUAGCAGCCUCACCUCCUAAUGAAACAAGUCACGACACCUUAGCCAAUUCUGAUGGCUGAGUGAGGCUGUCCCGAUCGCACUCAGGACUGCCACUCUUUAGUACUGGCCAUGUGGUCUGCCAGAGUCCUUAGGGCCAAGCAGAUGGGCGGCUGGGUCCCCUUGUCCUCAUUCCAACCACCAUGUGGAUGUUUGCCAGACGCCAGCAAUGGCAACACCCUAGCAACUGACCCCGGACACCUGUCACCAGAGGCCCACUCACUUGGUCUCUGUCAGUUGCCAACAGCCCAGCCCCACCACCCCACAAAGUGCACACACGUGCACAUCUGUACAUGUGCACACAUGCACACACAGAUGCAUGCUGCCUGCGCUCUGCCUGUUUGAAAGCUGCAGUGCAUCUCAAACUGGCCUGGAGCAACCCCAGCUUCCCGGUGGGAGCAGGUGGUGAGAUGGACUCUUGGGGCACAUCUUAGCAUGAGGCAGGAAGGGCGAAGGCUGGCCCCAGGGACAGCCACACUGGCCUCCAGAGCAGAGGCUCAGUGCUCACUUCCCCCUCGCAGGAGUCUCUCCGCUUCUACUUGCAGGCAUUUGUGUUGACGCAGGGGUUCCUAUUGUCUUACACAAUCUCUGUGGAGUGUUGCCUGAGGGCUCCCUAAACUUCCAUGCCAUCAGCAAAUCCCAGAAUACCCACUUACAGAAAGCAUUGGAAUCUCACUUUUAAUUGCUCCAUUUUUAUGACUGAAAUAUGGGUUACCAUUUUACUUCCACAUCUGCCUUUUGUCAGUGUUGCCUCAUCUGUCUCCCAUCUAGAUAGUUUGUAGGCAGAAAAGAUUUGACCAAGAAAUUUUUUUUAUGUUUCCUAUUGAUCUCUCAAAUUGAUUAUUGGAUAACUUGUAAAAAUAAUUAUUGCCUAUUGAUUCAAGCUCCCGGAGACGGCAUGGUUUUCAUGAUGCACCUCUUCCGUUUUCCUUUGAGGAGAGCAUUUUCUCGCAUGCUUAAUUGUUGCUGUAACUGAGUUCAGUUUCCCUCCUCUCAUGUAGGGAACCCACAGCACUUAUUUUAUCUGUAAUAGAGUCUCUUUGUAUAAUGCAGAAUUUUGCCCCCCUUUUGAAAUAAAACUGUUUUUAAUAGAGGAA
rnacentral:antisense_RNA from 1 species